rnacentral:rRNA from 1 species
GAUGAACGCUGGCGGCGUGCUUAACACAUGCAAGUCGAACGGAAAGGCCCAAGCUUGCUUGGGUCCUCGAGUGGCGAACGGGUGAGUAACACGUGGGUGAUCUGCCCUGCACUUCGGGAUAAGCCUGGGAAACUGGGUCUAAUACUGGAUAGGACCACUUCUUGGAUGUUGUGGUGGAAAGUUUUUUCGGUGUGGGAUGAGCUCGCGGCCUAUCAGCUUGUUGGUGGGGUAAUGGCCUACCAAGGCGUCGACGGGUAGCCGGCCUGAGAGGGUGUACGGCCACAUUGGGACUGAGAUACGGCCCAGACUCCUACGGGAGGCAGCAGUGGGGAAUAUUGCACAAUGGGCGCAAGCCUGAUGCAGCGACGCCGCGUGGGGGAUGACGGCCUUCGGGUUGUAAACUCCUUUCGCUAGGGACGAAGCGUUUUGUGACGGUACCUGGAGAAGAAGCACCGGCUAACUACGUG